rnacentral:rRNA from 1 species
UAGGGAAUCUUCCGCAAUGGACGCAAGUCUGACGGAGCAACGCCGCGUGAGUGAAGAAGGAUUUCGGUUCGUAAAACUCUGUUGUUAGAGAAGAACAGCGCAUAGAGUAACUGUUAUGCGUGUGACGGUAUCUAACCAGAAAGCCACGGCUAACUACGUGCCAGCAGCCGCGGUAAUACGUAGGUGGCAAGCGUUGUCCGGAUUUAUUGGGCGUAAAGCGAGCGCAGGCGGUCAAUUAAGUCUGAUGGGAAAGCCCCCGGCUCAACCGGGGAGGGUCAUUGGAAACUGGUUGACUGGAGUGCAGAAGAGGAGAGUGGAAUUCCAUGUGUAGCGGUGAAAUGCGUAGAUAUAUGGAGGAACACCAGUGGCGAAGGCGACUCUCUGGUCUGUAACUGACGCUGAGGUUCGAAAGCGUGGGUAGCAAACAGG